rnacentral:rRNA from 1 species
CCUACGGGAGGCAGCAGUGGGGAAUAUUGCACAAUGGGGGAAACCCUGAUGCAGCGACGCCGCGUGAGUGAAGAAGUAUUUCGGUAUGUAAAGCUCUAUCAGCAGGGAAGAUAAUGACGGUACCUGAGUAAGAAGCCCCGGCUAACUACGUGCCAGCAGCCGCGGUAAUACGUAGGGGGCAAGCGUUAUCCGGAUUUACUGGGUGUAAGGGGAGCGUAGACGGCAUGGCAAGUCUGAAGUGAAAGCCCGGGGCUCAACCGCGGGACUGCUUUGGAAACUGUUAAGCUUGAGUGCAGGAGAGGUAAGUGGAAUUCCUAGUGUAGCGGUGAAAUGCGUAGAUAUUAGGAGGAACACCAGUGGCGAAGGCGGCUUACUGGACUGUAACUGACGUUGAGGCUCGAAAGCGUGGGGAGCAAACAGGAUUAGAUACCCCAGUAGUC